CCUACGGGUGGCUGCAGUGGGGAAUAUUGGAUAAUGGGGGGAACCCUGAUCCAGCCAUGCCGCGUGUGUGAAGAAGGCCCUCGGGUUGUAAAGCACUUUCAGUGAGGAAGAACGCCUGGUGGUUAAUACCCAUCAGGAAAGACAUCACUCACAGAAGAAGCACCGGCUAACUCCGUGCCAGCAGCCGCGGUAAUACGGAGGGUGCGAGCGUUAAUCGGAAUUACUGGGCGUAAAGCGCGCGUAGGUGGCUUGAUAAGCCGGUUGUGAAAGCCCCGGGCUCAACCUGGGAACGGCAUCCGGAACUGUCAAGCUAGAGUGCAGGAGAGGAAGGUAGAAUUCCCGGUGUAGCGGUGAAAUGCGUAGAGAUCGGGAGGAAUACCAGUGGCGAAGGCGGCCUUCUGGACUGACACUGACACUGAGGUGCGAAAGCGUGGGUAGCAAACAGGAUUAGAUACCCGGGUAGUC
rnacentral:rRNA from 1 species